UAGGGAAUCUUCCGCAAUGGACGCAAGUCUGACGGAGCAACGCCGCGUGAGUGAAGAAGGAUUUCGGUUCGUAAAACUCUGUUGUUAGAGAAGAACAGCGCAUAGAGUAACUGUAUGCGUGUGACGGUAUCUAACCAGAAAGCCACGGCUAACUACGUGCCAGCAGCCGCGGUAAUACGUAGGUGGCAAGCGUUGUCCGGAUUUAUUGGGCGUAAAGCGAGCGCAGGCGGUCAAUUAAGUCUGAUGUGAAAGCCCCCGGCUCAACCGGGGAGGGUCAUUGGAAACUGGUUGACUUGAGUGCAGAAGAGGAGAGUGGAAUUCCAUGUGUAGCGGUGAAAUGCGUAGAUAUAUGGAGGAACACCAGUGGCGAAGGCGACUCUCUGGUCUGUAACUGACGCUGAGGCUCGAAAGCGUGGGUAGCAAACAGG
rnacentral:rRNA from 1 species